GGCCUCGUAGCUCAGCUGGUACAGUGUGCGCGUACAUAGCGCAGGCGGCGUCCAUGCGUGGGUUCGAAUCCCAACGAGACUA
rnacentral:tRNA from 1 species